UACGUAGGGGGCAAGCGUUGUCCGGAAUCAUUGGGCGUAAAGAGCAUGUAGGUGGAUCAAUUAGUCUGCUGUGAAAGUCAAAGGCUCAACCUUUGAAAGCCGGUGGAUACUGUUGAUCUAGAGUACGGAAGAGGCGAGUGGAAUUCCUGGUGUAGCGGUGGAAUGCGCAGAUAUCAGGAGGAACAACAAUAGCGAAGGCAGCUCGCUGGGACGUAACUGACACUGAGAUGCGAAAGCGUGGGGAGCAAACAGG
rnacentral:rRNA from 1 species